rfam:Macrostomum lignano unitig_39606, whole genome shotgun sequence.
UGACCUCGGAUCAGACGUGAUUACCCGCUGAAUUUAAGCAUAUUAUUAAGCGGAUAGGAAAAGAAACUAACAAGGAUUCCCCUAGUAACGUGCGGUCGAGUGAACGGGGAAGAGCCCAACACCGAAUCCCUUGGCGCAAGUCAACCCGGGAAAUGUGACGUGGUUAAGGGUUAGCGUUCGUGUCAAGUCUAGGCGUCUCAAUCCACCUGAUUGUGCGCUUCAAGCCCAGAAGAGGGUGUAAGGCCGCCGUAGAGAACGCUCCGACUGAUUCCUGGGGUUUACCUACGAGUCGGCUUGUUUGGAAAAUGCAGGCCAAAGCGGGUGGUAAACUCCAUCCAAGGCUAAAUACUGGCACGAGUCCGAUAGCGGACGCAAGUACGUGAGGGAAAGUUUGAAAAGAACUUUGAAGAAGAGAGUUCAAUAGUACGUGAAACCGCUUAGAGUUAGAGCAAACGGAUGGUGCUCAUACUGGCCUGAGGAAUCAACUGUGACGGUGGCUGGAACGAGCUGGCGUUCGAAUCUCUCUUUUGGGACGGGCGUCGGUUUGGCUAUCAGCUCGCGACAUUGGUGGGCCUUGUCCUUGGUGGCCUCGCGCCACGACCGACCGACACUGCGCUACCGCGGCUGGGUAAGGUGACAAACUGCUUCGGCAAUUUGUGUUAUUAGACCCCGGCGUCGGGACAUGUUGUUUGGCCAGGGACGUCGAGCUUGGCGGCGCCCGCCGUCCUUGUGGGACUCGCCAUGUUUGGCCUUAGCUUGGCUGCGGCGAUGCUUGCACUGGACAACCAGUACAGGUGACGGUUGUGGUCUUGUCUCUCUAGUUGGCCUCUGCGAGUUUGGCGGCCUAAUAGUCUGUGGUGUGUACUUGUGGGUAGACUAUCCGACCCGUCUUGAAACAAGGACGGACCAAGGAGUCUAACAUGUGCGCGCGAGUCAUGGGGAUUCUACCGAAACCCAAAAGGCGCAGUGAAAGUAAAGGCCUGCUUCUCGUAGGCUGAGGUGGGAUCUCGCUGUGCAUCGCGAUUGGCGAGCGCACCACCGGCCCGUCCUAUCUGUCUCUGUCAGUGGGGCGGCGCAAGAGCGUACACACGUUGGGACCCGGAAAGAUGGGUGAACUUGCCAGCCUCGCUUGCCGCAGCUCGAAGUUCAACGUGGAACACACUGAUGGAGUGGAAGCGCAGCGUUUCUGACGUGCAAAACUUCGAUCGUCAAACGUGAGUAUAGGGGCGAAAGACUAAUCGAAACCAUCUAGUAGCCUGUUCCUCCGAAAAGUUUCCUCAGGAUAGCUGGCAGCUCGGGAAACAGUUUUAUCCGUAAAGCGAUAAUGUAUUAGAGGCAUUGGGGUCGAAACCGACCUCGACCUAUUCUCAAACUUAAAUGGUAAGAUGCUCGUCUCGCUUAUAUUGGUGAGGCGGGCUUCACCUCUCUAACGUAGUGAAUGUGAGUGCCAGUGGGCCGCAUUUUGGUAAGCAGAACUGGCGCUGUUGGGAUGAACCAAACGCGGGUUAAGGCGCCCAAUGCGGACGCGCUCAUGAGACACCCACAAAAGGUGUUGGUCGAUACUGACAGCAGGAAACGGUGGCCAUGGAAGUCGGAACCCGCCUUAAGGAGUGUGUAACAAGUACUCACCAUGCCGAAAUCAACGCAGCCCUGAAAAUGGAUGGCGCUUGGAGCGUCGGGCCUAUACCGUGCCGUUGGGGCGAAGCAGACAAAUAAUCUGUGUGGAAUGUCCCAACGACGUUAGGAGGGUCGCCGUGGUGAGCGCAGAAGGCUGCGGCCGUGAGGCCGGCUGGAGCCGCCACGGGCGCAGAUCUUGGUGGUAGUAGCAAUUACUACUCAAGUGAGAGACCUUGAGGACUGAAGUGGAGAAGGGUUCCAUGUGAACAGCAGUUGAAGCAUGGGUCAGGCGGUCCUAAGCGAUCGGUAACUCCGUACCUAGACGAGGUGACAACUAUCACUUAACUAAAUUGUGACGUGUUAUAUAGCCCUCCGGGAGCGAAAGGGAAAUCGUGUUAAUAUUUCACUCGACCCUUACCGUGGAGAUCGCGCCCUUUCGCGGGGGCAAGUGCGGUAACGCAAACGAACACAGAAGACGUCGGCUGGAGAGCCCCGGAAGAGUUCUCUUUUCUUUGUAAGGAGCCGUACCCCCUGGAAUCGGCUUGUCCGGAGAUAGGGGCGUCGAGCUUCCGGUAAAGCAGCGCGGGGUCUUGCGCUGUCUCGGUGCACGUCUAGUCGGCCCUUGAAAAUCUGUGGGAGACAGUGUGAUUUUCACGGUAGGCCGUACCCAUAUCCGCAGCAGAGGUCUCCAAGGUGAACAGCCUCUAGUCCUAGAACAAUGUAGGUAAGGGAAGUCGGCAAAAUGGAUCCCGUAACUUCGGGAAAAGGAUUGGCUCUGAGGGCUGGGUCGGAUGGGCUGGCGUAAGAAGCUGUUCCGGUGUUGGUGAGGACUGGGCGAGGCUUUCGGGCUUUACUCGGACCCAUGCCGAGACCAGGCAGUAGA